rnacentral:rRNA from 1 species
CCUACGGGUGGCAGCAGUGAGGAAUAUUGGUCAAUGGGCGAGAGCCUGAACCAGUCAAGGCGCGUGAAGGAUGACGGGCCUAAGGGUUGUAAACUUUUUUUGUCAGGGAGCAAUUGAGUCAAAGUGUGGUUUGAGCGAGAGUACCUGAAGAAAAAGCAUCGGCUACAUCCGUGCCAGCAGCAGCGGUAAUACGGUGGAUGCGAGCGUUCUCCGGAUUUAUUGGGUUUAAAGGGUGCGUAGGCGGAAUAUUAAGUCAGCGGUAAAAAUUCGGGGCUCAACCCCGUCGUGCCGUUGAAACUGAUGUUCUUGAGUGGGCGAGAAGUAUGCGGAAUGCGUGGUGUAGCGGUGAAAUGCAUAGAUAUCACGCAGAACUCCGAUUGCGAAGGCAGCAUACCGGCGCCCAACUGACGCUGAAGCACGAAAGCGUGGGUAUCGAACAGGAUUAGAUACCCCGGUAGUC